UACGUAGGGGGCAAGCGUUGUCCGGAAUCAUUGGGCGUAAAGAGCGUGUAGGCGGCCCGGUAAGUCCGCUGUGAAAGUCCAGGGCUCAACCCUGGGAUGCCGGUGGAUACUGUCGGGCUCGAGUCCGGAAGAGGAGUGUGGAAUUCCUGGUGUAGCGGUGAAAUGCGCAGAUAUCAGGAGGAACACCAAUGGCGAAGGCAGCACUCUGGGACGUGACUGACGCUGAGGCACGAAAGCGUGGGGAGCAAACAGG
rnacentral:rRNA from 1 species